AGUUGUUUUAUUGCGCCUAUGACUUGAAUCUUAUCAUCAGUUGUAGUGAUGGGAAGUUCGGAUCAUUUUACCGAAUCGGACUUUUGAGUCUCGUUCAGCAAAAUGAAUGAAUCUUUUUUCGAGUCAUUUCAAAUGAACGAACAACCCGAAGGUUCAGGAAGAAAAAAACAGAGUGCUUGCAGUCUGUUUCACAUUAGGAGGCAUUUUGCUACAUAAUCGAUCCACCACUGACCAUAUGCAACUAUAGAAGCUCAACUUCCAUUAAAUGGACUUAAAACGCUCAAGAGACACUUUGACAAGUGGGCACUGGAUGCUGAGUAUGGAAGGCGAGGUGGUGUGUGAGGGCACUCAGCCCAGUUUCCUGUCCGGCCUUGCCACUCUGUUUGCUGCUUAUUACUAGUUUAAUCUUGAGUAUCAGGAGGAAGCAGUGUGUACCUUGGAGUUCAUUCAAAGGUGCUUUGUGGCCAUAAAUCCGGAGAGAGGAUCCAAAGCCAAGGGAAAAGUACCAUCGAAAUAAAAACAGGACAAGUGAUACAGAAGAAAAUGUGUGGCAGUCAACCCACAUGUUGCCACUCUUCUGUGCAAAUUCCAAUGGAAUUUCUGAAAUUCACACUUUGAAUCCUGGGAUGGAACUUCAUCUGGAGCAUAAUUGUUAUUUGGUUGAUUUUUAUCUGUUUGAUGGAAAGUUUGUAUGACUUGUUUGGCCAUAUUGGUCUAUUCUUUAAGUGAUGAAAGCUAUCUGAAAACGUCUUUGUGGUUUUUAAAGGAUUAGUUCACCCAAAAAUGAAAAUUAAGUCAAUAAUUACUUAUGUCGUUCCACACCCGUAAGAUCUUCGUUCAUCUUCACAACACACAUUAAGAUGUGGUUCAGUGAAGCCUGCAUUUCUAGCAAGAUCAUUUCUUUUUUCAAUGCCCAGAAAGCCUCUAAAACAUUUAAAACAAUUAAUGUGACUACAGUUGUUCAAACCUAAAUAUUAUAAAGCGACGAGAAUACUUUUUCUGCCAACCCCCCAAAACAACUAUUUUAUUCAACCAUAUCUAGUGAUGGGCGGUCUCAAAACACUGCUUCAUGAAGCUUAGAAGCUCUACGAAUCUUUUGUUUCAAAUCAUUUGCUCAGAACGUGUAUCAAACUGCAAAAGUCACAUGAACUAUUGAAAUGUCAAAACACUUAUGACAUAACGAAGCCUCAUUUACUGAAAUCAUGUGACUUUGGCAGUUUGUUAUGCUCUCAUUUGAACUGAAAGAUUAAUAAAGCUUCG